ensembl:lncRNA GIHCG GIHCG inhibitor of miR-200b/200a/429 expression
GAACCCGGAAGUGAAGCGAUAAGACGCACGGUGUUCUGGGAGGAGUUACGCAGGCAGGGUUGUGGUUGCUGGCUGUUACCAGGACAACCGGAGGCGAUUGACCGUUAUCUGCGGUUUGGAGCCGUUAGCGGGAGAGGCAGAGAUAUUCAGAGGUCUUUUAGGAUGCGCUAAAGGGUCGUGAGGGCUCUCUUAAAAUUUUCUUCACAAGCGGUUAUCCAGUCGUGCCCCGCGGCCCUGCUGCUGGCCCCGGGGAUCUGAGUCGUACCCUCUUGUUUUUCUCUGAGUCAGUCUUAAGGUGAAAUGAAGUGUGGCCCAGUGGCUCCUCACUGUCGCUUCUCUAGUUUUCUGCCUCCUUUUAGAAAAUGUGCUAAAGAACAUACAGACACAGAGCAGACAGGCCACCUUUGCAACCACAUGGAGGUUUGUCUGAUAUUGAAGCUAAAGAAGCUAAGCUGGAAGACAGAGAGACCAAGUCCUGAUGACAUUGUUUGAACCCAGAGAUCCAGACAUGCCUGAAAACUAGUUUUACCACUGGACUUAUCCGUUGAAUGAGCCAAUAAACUCUCUUUUAUACUUAACCUUGGGUUUUACCUGGAUUUUUGUCAUUGACAGCUCAAAAUAUUCUAAUAUAGAAGUAUACAUCAUUAAAUCAACAUUUCUUUUUUUCUCUGUCUUAUUUUAAAUGUAACUCUAUAAGGUACUCUAAAAGUAUUCUACAGUCUCACUAAGUUAAUCUGCAAAUUUGGUAAAAUUCCAAUAUUAAUCCCAAAAGUAUUUUAAGAGCUUGUUUUUGUUGUUUGCUUGUUUGGGACUAAACAGAAUUACUCCAAAAUUCAUUGAGAGAAAAAAAAACAUGAAAAAAAAAACAAGAAAAUAGAAUUCAUAAAAGGAAAUUGUAUUAUAUAACAAAGCAUAAAACAAGAAUAAUAAACAUAGAGUGGUAAUGGAAUAAAUAAACAGUCAUGGAACAGAAUUCAAAGCCUGAAUAUAUCUAAGAGCACUUACCAAAUUUAAUAUGUGGUACAUCAAGAAAAGAUUAAUCCAGUAAAGUAUAUAAGUACAUUGAGCUAGAUUUAGAGGAGAAAGAUAAUUAGAUCGUUACCUUAUUCCCAGAAUAAAUUUCAAAUGGAUUUGUGACUUAAGUGUAAAAAUUGAAGCCAGAUUCUCAAUAUACAUUGAUUGGCAUAUAAUUGGCACAGUCUUUAGCAAUAUCAAUUAAAUGUUAAAUAUUAAUAACAACACAGCCUUUCAAUUCUAGAAAUAUAUCCUACAGAAACAAAAUAUAUGUAUAAAUAUAGAUAAUGCAGUAUUGGAAUAUCAAAAGUAGUACACAUAUGAAAUAGGAUAUGGAAUACCUAUAUCAUGAAUUCACGGGGUGGCAACAUCGCAACAAGGAGGUGAAAAUUGAUUCUUGAGGGAAAUUUUUUUUUCUAAAGCAUAGAUAUGUGUGUAAAGCACAUAAACAAAUAUACAGUAUAUAUGUGGUAUUGAAACUUCAUGGGAGAGUAAUAAUUAAGAAAAAAAUGUCUACACUGGGUGCAGUGGCUCAUGCCUGUUAUCCCAACACUUCGAAAGGCCAAGGUGGGUGGAUCAUGAGGUCAGGAGUUCAAGACCAGCCUGGCCAAGAUGGUGAACCCGCAACUGUACUAAAAAUACAAAAAUUAGCCGGGCAUGGUGGCAGGCGCUUGUAAUCCCAGCUACUCAGGAGGCUGAGGCAGGAGAAUCGCUUGAACCUGGGAGGUAGAGGUUGCAGUGAUCCAAAAUCACGCAACUGCACUCCAGCCUGGGUGACAAAGUAAGACUCCAUCUCAAAAAAGAAAAAAGAAAAAA